rnacentral:lncRNA from 1 species
AUUACAUAACCAAAUAAAUACAAUAAUUGUCUGAAAUAAACACACAAACAAGCUGACACAAGCAAGCAUAUAAAACACAUUAGAAUCACCAAGUAGAUUAGGGUUUUAGACGGCGCCAACUGUACUUGCAGAAAAAGUAAGGUAAGGAUUCUAGGGCUAAGAAUCGUAGAUUAGGGUUCUAAACUAGGGUUUUAGACUGAAUAUCGGAUGCCUUGAGAAUGAUCUUAAGAGGUUUAUUUAUAGCCUGCUAAUGGGCUUUUUCCUGCGUGACUUAAGCUCUAAGAAAGCAGGGUUUUUAGUCUUUUUAGCUCGUUUAGGCGGUUUAGGGCGACUUCUAGAGGCUUCUAGAAGGCGAGGAGGGCGAUUCCUCAAGGAGGACGCGCCGGAUCCUCUGAGGUCCCUUCUGGAGGGCGCCUAAGCCCUUUUGGAGGGCUUUUGAGCCCUUAGGAAUAUUAUGACGGUCCACAACAAGGCGUGGUGAUGAGGGAUGUGGGAUUGGCCCUGCCAGAGGGUCAUCAAACCCAUAGGGAUAUUAUGACGGUCCACAGCCCCCCAAGCACGAGGCUUGGAACAAGGCGUGGUGAUAUUUUUGCAUGAUUCUUCGAAGAUGUCGCCCCUUAGGGCGAUGUCACUCAGAUGUCUUGUCUGAUCCAACGGUCUGUGUCGCGACUUUUGGAUUCUGAUGAAUGGUUCCCGCCCUGCGAGUUGGCACAGGACGUUGGGACCAGUGCCCUUCGCACUUUGCUCUACGUCCAGUCCAUGGAGUGUAAGUAUGAGGUCUUGGAGAGGGAGUACCAUGAUUCAGUCAAAGAUGUGGAGAAAUACAGCACAAGUCAUCUGCUCUCGAAGAAAGGGUAGAGGGUUCGCUGAAGGAUAAGGCAGAAUCUGAGCAAGCGGUGGCCGGUCUGGAGAAAGAGAAGGCUGAGUUGCAAAGUGAGAAAGUUGAAUUGGAGAGUCAAAAUUUGCAACUGAAGGGCGACUUAGAAAAAUCCCGAGCUGAAGUCGAGGACGGGAAAAUGGCUUUGGCGGGUUUUUUCGAAGACGGUUUUGAGCGGGCCAAGAUGCAAGUGUUACAUUUUUAUCCAGACCUAGACUUGUCAGGGCUGGAUUCCUUGAAGAUUAUUCAAGAUGGGGAGCUUGUCGACGAGCCUUGAUCGCCCUUUUAUUUAUAUUUUGCUGCUAUUUUAAGUUUGGAGAGGCGUGUUGUUUUGUGCCUCUAUUUUGUUUUUCCUUGAACAGUGCUUGUCUUGGCCGCCCUUUUUUGUAAUAUCUUUUACCUGCUAUUAUUUAUGCAUUGUUUUGUUUAGUUUGGCUUCUUUAUACUUCGUUAUUAAUAAGGGUAGUUCGCAAACUAUAACUAGUGACCAUGUUGAUCUUAGAUCCCGCACGGAUCUGAAAAAGAACUUAGCGUAACUCACUUUGAUUUAUUUAUUCAUCUGUCAUAUAUAUCUGAAAAAAUCCUCAGCGUAAAUUGUCUUGUUUAUUCACGAAAUUCACCCUUAAAUAAAAUUUCAUCACAAUAUACUUUUUGUUUUAGUAAUAUCGAACCAAAAGAUCAUAAUAUACUUUCUUGUUUUAUCCUGGCGACUAGAGAUAAAAGGAAGUCAUCACGGGUGGUGGAUGAGAGUGGAGUGACAUCGCCUUGGCGUGCUUAGCGAUGAAAGGUUUGAUUGACCCGCCAGACACUGAGCCUUUUAAUAAUGAUAAGUUUUGCUUGGUUCAGAGCCUUUUGUGAGGUUGAACUAUGGGUGUUCCAGAGCCUUUUACAAGGUUCAACUAUGUGGUCCAGAGCCUUUUACAAGGUUGGACUAAUGGUGGUUCAGAGCCUUUUACAAGGUUGAACUAUUUUGGUUCAGAGCCUUUUACAAGGUUGAACUAUGUGGUCCAGAGCCUUUUACAAGGUUGGACUAAUGGUGGUUCAGAGCCUUUUACAAGGUUGAACUAUUUCUUGGGCGAUUUAUGGUCUUCAUGACGUCGAGUCAGAGCCUUGAAAAAGGUUGACCCAAUUUGGGCGUCCUUGAUCUUUUCCAAAUGCUUCUUUGUGGAAUCUGCAACACAAGUCUCAAAGGUUGAGAAAGGUUAGAAACAAUUGUGUUUUAUCUUCAAGCUUUUAACGGCGGGGCCGUUGUUCCUAUAUUUCAUUUUGGUGCAUUGUUUGGCGAGUUCUCCCUUUUGUUUAAUCCCGCCCUUGCCGGGCUAGUUCGCUUUCCAAAUUUAUUCAUCUGAAAUAUAAUAAUUUUUUCAUACUUCCAAAGUAAUCAGUAUUAUAAAGGAGCCUUUAAUCAUUUAUAAGAAAUAACUACUCUCUAUCUAUACGUCGCCCAUAUUUUCUACUCUCUUUCCUAUCUUAUUCAUUCUCUUGCUAAUUUAUUUGAUAACCUUGUGUUUUUAAUCCUUAUCUAUUAGAUUGGAAACUAAGUCUUCUCGCUACUUUCUUAUUAGAUUUAAAACUAGUUCGCCCACUUCUCUCAUUUUAUUUUAUACUCCUUCUCUUAUUCCCACUACCUUGAAUUCUAAUUUGACUGGUACUUUCUCCUAUGAAGUUAAGUCUUCUGCUCAAUUUACUCUUCUACGUGGGUCUAGCGCUAUUAUUCUAUUAUUUCUAUUUCUACUAGGCAGUAAGUUCAGUUUGCAAAGUAAAUGGUACAUGGAAGGGGUUCCCAGGAAAGAGAGGUGGGUCAUUUAGACCUCUUAAAUAUCAAGGCUUUCCUUGCCAGAAUUCCUCACAUGUGACCUUUUAACAAUAUUAUACUUUACUUCUGCCACGGGGUAUCUAGAGUAGUCUUUCUUUGUUAUCUUGAUCCUACCUUUUGAGUUUUACUUAUCUCUCUCUUUUUAUUAUAACGUCACUAAAUUGCACAAUCAGAAUUAAUAGCAAGUGAAGUAAACUAAGUUAAAGCUAAUUUGUCUAUAAGACUUAUUAUCCACAUAUGAUGUAUAUGCACCAACAAAAUAAUUGCAAAAUAAACAAAAUUGAUGAGACUUCGAAAUUAAGGUUGUAAAAUAUAUUUUUUCAAAAUAUAUUGAUCAUAAAAUUUUCUUCAAAUCUAAAAGUGUAAAUAUAUUUUCUCAAAAUAUAUUGAUCAUAAAAUUUUCUUCAAAUCUAAAAGUGUAAAUAUAUUCUCUCAAAAUAUAUUGAUCAUAAAAUUUUCUUCUAAUCUAAAAGUAUGAAUAUAUUUUCUCAAAAUAUAUUAGGCAAUAAAUUUUCUUUCAAAUAAUAAAAUAUAUUUUUUCAAAAAAUAUAGAACCUGAUAUUCCUUUGAAAGAGAAUUUCUUCAGGGUGGGAGAAUUGCUUCGAGAGAGUAUGUCUUGUAGCAAGAGCAAGACAUAUACCUCCAAGAGUUUAUUCAAGAGCAAGACUAAUACCUCCAAGAGUGUUUCACUACCUCAUUCAGAAUCUUCAGAACGGCCUUGUAGCAAACUUUGUUAACGAGCAACACCAUAACUUGCAAACUUUGUUGUGAGGCUCGCGCUGAUAUUCGAUCGCCUCAUCUGUCUUGGUCUUCAGCUUCCUGAUUUUGAGGCGAUGUAUGCACUUCCCAACAUAGAAUUGGCAGGUAUUGAAAAUUGAUGUAAUCGUUCAACAAACACAAAAGAAUAGUUAACGAUAAUAUAGAAAUAAGCUUUAAUGAUGAAGUAUAGCCAUUGAUGUAUUUCUCAAAAGACUAGCCAUCAAUAAUUAGAAACAGCUUUAAUAAUAUAUUCGUAUGAACAAAGUCAUCAUUGAAAACCCAAUAGCAUAAAAAUAAAUAGGUUGUACUGGACGCUUAGGCAAGCAAGGCAUCAUUGAGGAAAAUAAAUUAUAAAGAACAGAAUCGGAAAAGAUACGCCCAUGAUGCUCGGCUAUUCUGAUGUAACAAAACAACAAUAUCCAUGGCGACUUUGACAAAGAUAAAUUAACGCCAUAAACCUAUGGGAUCUAAGAUGAACUCUUUAAAUCUAAAUUUGAUGACCACAUCAUAUCCACUGAAAUUAUUAGGCCUAAAUUCCUUACAUGAAUAUGCGCUUAAUAAAAACUGAGGCAACCAUACAACACAUCUAGUAUUAAUAUAUUAUGUAUAUAUAACAAACUAAGUCAAGUGCAUCAGCUUAAUCUAGCAAUACUUUCAAGAAUCAUCUAUUUGCUUAAUAAAUACAAGUGCCACACGUCCGAUUACGAAACAUUAGUGAUUAUCAAAGGUGGAUCGAUUUCAGUACCAUUCACUUUUAUUGAAUUUUUGUUUGAAUAAACAAAUAGUUGAUUGGCCGCAAGCAAUUCAAUCGUAACUCCUACUCUCUCACAAAACUACAAAAGUUCAGGUUAAAAUACAAAGUGCUUCUUUCUCAUCAAUCGUUGCAUGUGCUAAUUGCGGGUAAUUAUUAUGAGUUUGGUUGUCACAUGCGAUUGCGAUAAGAAAAACAUACAUGCGAAUAUCAACAAAAGGAUAUACAAGAAUCAUAGAGAUAACACGACACGUAUUGAGUUAAUUCAAAAAACAAACAGUAAUAUGCUAUCAAAACACGUAAAACAUACUGGAAAAAAAAAGGUAAUUGUGGCGGCGCGCAGCAGAAAUUUGGUUGCGUAUCAAACAAACAAUAAGAAAGGUGAUUAAGAAAUCGUUCCCAACCAGGGAGGAGCUAUUCUGGAAACGGUAUUCUUUACGGAUCGUUGUCAAAGAGGUCUGAAGGCAUCCACUCCGUUGCUUCAGCUGUUCUAUUUUGUAGAUUCAUAGUUGCUAUAACAUCACGAUCAAAGGCUGUUGUGAUCUUCCCCGGCCAUUCUCUCGAGACCCCCCCCCCCCCCCCGGAUGAUUUUUAGGUUUAUGAGUGUGGUCUAGGUUAGUUUUACCGUUUCCCACAGACGGCGCCAACUGUACUUGCAGAAAAAGUACGGUAAGGAUUCUAGGGCUAAGAAUCGUAGAUUAGGGUUCUAAACUAGGGUUUUAGACUGAAUAUUGGAUCCCUUGAGAAUGAUCUCAAGAGGUUUAUUUAUAGCCUGCUAAUGGGCUUUUUCGCGUGACUUAAGCUCUAAGAAAGCAGGGUUUUUAGUCUUUUUAGCUCGUUUAGGCGGUUUAGGGCAACUUCUAGAGGCUUCUAGAAGGCGAGGAGGGCGAUUCCUCAAGGAGGACGCGCCGGAUCCUCUGAGGUCCCUUCUGGAGGGCGCCUAAGCCCUUUUGGAGGGCUUUUGAGCCCUUAGGAAUAUUAUGACGGUCCACAGCCCCCAAACACGAGGGUUGGAACAAGGCGUGGUGAUGAGGGAUGUGGGAUUGGCCCUGCCAGAGGGUCAUCAAACCCAUAG